rnacentral:tRNA from 1 species
AGUGUUAGGGGCACGAAGAAUUUUGAUUUCUUAAGAGGGGCUCAUAUCCCCCU